AAUAUUAAGGUAAACAAAUUAAAAAACCUAAAAUAUAAAAGUUAGCUUUCAGCAGCUUAGUAAUCGGAAUGACUAUCUAAUAUGAUAUUAUCGUAGUCAUUUACUUAGAGAUUUUAGUCAUUUAAUGGGCUCGACAUUUACUAGACCAUCUAAAAUCUUAUCCUAAUAAAAAAACAAAUGACAAUAAAAUAAUGUUCAAAUCAAGAUCAGUUGAAAAGAGAGAAGGAUGGACAAGGAAAUCUCAUAAUAGAGAUUUUUAUUUUCUAUCCAAAUAUUUAGUGAUACGUUAAUAAAAAAUAAACUUUACAACAUCAUAUUACAAUUAAUAUUUUUCUAAAAUUAAAAAUAAUUUUUAAAAGAUAUUUCUAUAUAAAAUAUUGCAUGUUCAUUUAGAGCUAAACAGUUACAAAGUACUUUUUUAAAAAAAAUGUAUAUUCAUAUGUUAAAAAAUAAAAAGGGAUAUAGGGAAUAGGAAAAAGGACGAGUAUCUCAAAUUUUUAUUGAAAAAUUAAUGCCCAUUCAAAUCCACGACGAAUAAAAAUGAAUGAUGAGAAUAACCUCUAUCAAAUGAACGUGAAUAUGAAUAUUAGCUCAGUAAUCAAAAUGACCAUUUAAUAUGAUAUUAUCGUAGACAUUUACUAGAGAUUUUAGUCAUUUAAUGGACUAGACAUUUACUAGACCAUCCAAAAUCUUAUCCUAAUAAAAAAUAAAUGACAAUAAAACAAUGUUCAAAUCAAGAUCACUUGAAAGGAGAGAAUGAUGGAUAAGGAAAUACUAAACUAGAGAUUUUUAUUUUCUAUCUGAAUAUUUAGUAAUACGUUGAUAAAAAUUAAACUUUACAACAUCAAAUUAUAAAGAAUAUUUUUCUAAAAUUGAAAAUAAUUUUUUUAAAAUAUUUCAAGAUAAAAUACUGCAUAUUCAUCUAGAGCUAAACAGUUAAAGUACUUUUUAAUAUAUAUAUAUAUACACACACAUAUGUUAAAAAGUAAAAAAAGGAUAUAGGAGAUAGGAAAAAGGACGAGUAUCUCUCAUUUUUGUUGAAAAAUUAAUACCCAUCAAAACCCACAUAAAAAUGAAUGAUCUGAAUAAUUAGGGAUGGCAAAAAUCGUCACGGGGAUGGGUACCCUCGGGGAUUUUCCCCAUUCGGGGAGGGUACGAGGAUAAUUUUAUACCCAAUUUUUUAUUCGGGGAGGGGACGGGAAAAAUUUUUGACCCAAUUUUUUAUUCGGGGAGGGGACGGGGAUGAGGUGGAAUCCCUAUCCCCUACCCAUUUCCCCAUUUUAAUUUUUAUUUUUAUUUUUAUUUUUAAAAUUACUAAUAAAUAAAUAACAAAAUUAUAAAUAUUGGCAAGAUAUGAGUGGAAUUUUGGGUGUGGCAUGUAUCUUUGAUCCAAGGUAUAAAAAGAAGUUCAUUGAAUAUUACUUUUCUAUGGUUUAUGGUGGUGUUAAAGAGUUGUAUGUUGGGAAAGUGGUCACCCUUUGCCGGGAAUUAGUGGAAGAGUAUCAAUUGAAGUUUUCACCAACUGUUUAUUACUUUGAUUAUACUGGUAGUAGUUCUUCUAUUAGAUCUACAGGGGAUUCUUAUAAGAAAGCAACCAAAUGGAUAACAGGUUUUGAUGAUUACGUAAACAAUGGAGAUUGUGCAGUUGUUGCAGAUGAAUUAGAUUCAUAUUUGGAUGAAAAAGUUAUACCCCGGAUGGAAGAUUUUGAUAUUUUGAGUUGGUGGAAGACAAAUGCUAAUAUGUAUCCUACAUUAGCUCGAAUUGAUAGAGAUAUUUUGGCAAUUCCAAUUACAACAGUUGCUUCUGAAUCAGCUUUUAGCACCGGUGGUAGAGUUGUGAGCCCACAUCGUAACAAACUUCAUCCAAGCACAUUGGAGGCCUUAAUGUGCUGUUAAAGUUGGUUACGAGCUUACAAUAACAGUAUGAGUUUAUUUUACAUUGUAAUUAUAUUAUACAGUUAUUAAUAUUUGCACUUAUAAGUUACGUUACUUAUAUCAUUUUUAUUGUUUUAGGUUUGGAAUCUGAGGCUAUCUCUCAAUUUGCCACAUUUCUCGAGGAAGAACAGAAGGAGCAGGACGAGUAGGAGGUAAAUAGUUUUAUUAAAAAUAUUAAUUAAGUAUCUACAUUUAUUUCAUUUAUUUUAUUGCCGAUAUAAAAAAUAAUUUUUUUUCUUUUUAUUGUAGGAUUAUGAAGAUUGAGACAUUGACAAAGAUAAUUAUUUUAAUAAUUUAUAUUUUGAAUGUGACUUUGUAAUGGAUCAAUAUUAAUGUAAGAUAUAUUUUAAACUUUAUUUUUAUCUGAAUUUUUUAUUUUAAUAUGAUUAAUUUAAAAUCAAAAAUAAAAAAAAUGUAUUAGACUAUUAAUUAUUCGGGGACCGGGGACUGGGGACCCUCAGGGAUCCCCUGUUAUUAUUCGGGGAGGGGAUGAAGAUUCUCUCAAGCAAUUUUGACGGAGACGGGGAGGGGACAAGGACAUACGCAAAAUAUCAGAAAUGAGUAUGGAGAGAUUGGUCCCCUCCCCUCCCCUCCCCAUUGUCAUCCCUAUGAAUAAUCUCUAUCAAAAAAACGUGAGAAUGAAUAUUAGCAUCCGUGCACAAUACCCUGACCUGUUGUCAUAACUGAUCCUCUUCUCGCACCAUUGUAAAUCUACGGAGAAUUCCAGAACUUUCUAAAUUAAAUUUUAAUUUGCAUUUCAGGGGGAAAAAAAAAAAAGAGAGAAAAAACAAAAAUACAAAUGUACGCAGCCAGCGGGCAGGAGGUCUAACCUUAAAUGCCCUUUGGAUUCCCGAAAUUCAGAAAAGAAAUUGGUUUUUGGGAGCAAAAUAUUUAUAUUUUCUCUUAUUUCACUGAAAACUGAUAUGACAAAUCUGUCCUUGGCAUUGACAGAAUAAGACAGGAGCAUUGGCCAAUGAUCCGCCUUCCCGAAGGAGAAAGAAUUGGGGCGAAAGAAAAAUAUCCCAUUGCCGUUUUUGAUAGUUUCCAUCAUUAGCCCCUUAGACUAGUAGAUACUAGCCCCAAAAUAAAAUAUAAAAAGAAAAAAGAAAAAGAAGAAGAGAGAUAGAGAAAGAGAAGAAUAAAAAAUAAUUUGUCAACUAAUUAUGCAACUAAAUUACUGAUACCCAGAUCACAUCCUUCUCUCUCUUAUUUCUCAGUCCUCACCUGUCCUUUUUCUCCCUCAUUUGAUCUCCAAUAUCAAAACCCUGGGCUUUCUCCUCACUAACUCUCCUUUUUUUUUUUUUUGGUUAAAUUUUUCAUCUUCAUAUUUUCAGCUUAAAUCUCUAAACUUUUGUUGUUUUUAACUUACAUUUCAGAGACCCAUUAAAGCCAUCUUUUCUAAGCAUAAAACCCUUUAAAAAAAAAUUCAUGUUCAUCUACAUUUCAUCACUUCAAAGAACAGAUUUAUAUCUUCAUUUUUGUUAAAAAGAUUAGAUUUUUACUUUUUCUUAAAUUUGUUCAGUUUUUUUUUUUCAGAGAUGCAUCCAACAGGUAGAGUCGAGAGGGAGGAGUUUAUAGGGGCAAGUUCAUCAUCAGCAUCCUAUUCUGCACCUCCUCAACCAAGGGAGGGGCUUCACGAUGCUGGCCCUCCUCCAUUCCUUACAAAAACUUAUGACAUAGUUGAAGACUGCAAUACCAAUCACAUAAUCUCUUGGAGCAGGGGCAGCAACAGCUUUGUUGUUUGGGAUCCUCAAGCAUUUUCCAUUACCCUUCUCCCUAAAUACUUCAAGCACAACAAUUUCUCAAGCUUUGUUAGACAACUCAACACUUAUGUAAGCUCUUCAUCACCUCACGUUAAUUUCUUUUGUGAUCUUGAAAUUUUCUUCACAAUUAUAUGAAAUGUCUUCUUUUGUUUGUUCUUGUCAUUUAUGGUCCUGAAACGGCUACAUACAAUGUUUGUUGUUCAUCUAUCUUUCUCUUCUGGUUACUUUUUUUCUUCUUCUUUUUUUAGGUUAAAAAAAUAUUGAUAAGUCCUUUCGGCUGCCUUGUUGUCGUCUAUUGGGGUAUUACUUAAUGUAGAUAUUUUCAUUCUUUAAUGGUUUGAAAACUUGGAAUGUGCUAAAAGAUCAUAACAUAAAAUAUACAAGAUAAACUCUUAUUGGGUAAUUUCGCCUGCUUAUUUGCUUUUGGUCUGCAUUAUGCUGCCGCAUUGGUAUUUUUUUAUAUAUUACCUUGCAACUUGCUAGUUCUGGAAUUUUAUUAUCUUUGUAAGGUCCUGGAUUUUUUUUUUAAGUUAAGUGAACAUUUAUGACCCUAAAAUUCGAUUUUGAUGAUGAAUCUGUCUUGUUAAUCAUCUAUGCUGUGGACUUUUAUAGUCAUGUUAUCUGAUGUAAACAAAUUCUUAUUUACUUGUCGAAAAAAAGAAAGAUUUAAAAAAAGAAGGAAAAAAUCAUGAGCAAGAAUGUGGGUUCAUGUAGGGAUUUAGAAAGGUUGAUCCUGAUAGAUGGGAGUUUGCAAAUGAAGGGUUUCUUAGAGGGCAAAGGAAUCUUUUAAAGAACAUUAGGAGAAGAAAAACAACGCAGUCUUCAGCCUCACAGCAAGCACUAGACGCAUGUGUUGAAGUAGGAAGAUUUGGACUAGAUGGUGAAGUUGACAGAUUAAGGCGUGACAAGCAAGUUCUAAUGAUGGAAUUGGUAAAGCUUAGGCACCAACAGCAGAAUACUAGAGAGUACCUUCAACUAAUGGAACAAAAACUGAGAAGAACUGAAAUGAAGCAGCAACAUAUGAUGAGUUUCUUGGCUAGAGCAAUGCAAAAUCCAAGCUUUGUACAGCAAUUAGCCCAGCAGAAGGAUAGAAGGAAAGAAUUUGAGGAUAUGAUUAACAGGAAGAGACGGCGGCAUAUUGAUCAAGGCCCUGGUGAAAUUGACGUUGGUGAUUUAGGCCAAGGUGAAGUUGACAUUCCUUUUGUGAAAAUUGAACCCGAGGAAUAUGGUGACCUGGCUGAACUUGGAUUGUCAGAGCUGGACAGGCUUGCAAUGGACAUGCAAGCUAGACUAAGUGAAAGACAAAGAAACCCAGAUGACGAGUUUGUUGAGAGAGGAGAAGAACAUGGAAGCAAAAAUAAGUUCACAAUUGAUCAGAGAUUUUGGGAAGAUUUCUUGAAUGAGGAUGUUGAAGAAGAGAUGUUGGCUGGUGAGGGAGAAGGAGAUGAAAAUGUGCGAGUGCUUGUUGAGCAAUUGGGUUUCCUGAGUUCGAGUCCAAAGUAAAGAAGAAGCCGCUAAGGAGCUUGUUAUCCUCUUGUGCUUGUUUCUUCAAUCCGGGUUAUAACAACACUUACCUAGCUACCUAACUUAAUUCUCAUUUCUUGUUUCUUUUGAUUUAAAUCAAAACUCCAAGAAAAUUUGCAGAUGGGGUUUCUUGGUAUUGAACGGAGAAUCCCAAUACUGGCAACGCAUUAACACUGGAAGAAUGCACUCCAUGGUGAUUGGUGAGUAAAAGAAGGAACUUUUCUUUGCAGAAACAUUUCAGAGCGCUAUGCAUAUUGUUUACUUUGAUUGAAAGCUUUUGUCUGCAAUUGUUCUUGACACCACUAUAUAUCCUAGAAUGAGAGACUUGAUGUAAUUUGGAUAGAUUUCAACACUACAGUCGUUUCGCUGUAAUCUUACCGACAUCCAACUUUUUAACUUCUUCUGAAUUAAAAUCCAAUUCUCUUGAGAUAAUGACCAUAUUACAACGUUCUUCGGUGCAGAACUCCCAACCCACUUUCCCUUGAAGAACCUGAGUGUUUAAAAUGUUGGGUUGUUUACUUUCUAAAUUUUUAUUAAUGAUGUAUAAAAAUAUAUGCACUAGUGUAACAUUUAGGAUGUCAAUGGCGGAUGACUUACAAAAUUCAGAGGUCUUUAAUAAGGGUCUCUCGAAGUUACAUUUUACGAACCUUACAUCCAUUUACAUAAAUAGUAUGUGGUGUGAGAUUUACUCACUAUUCAUGUAAGUGGGUGUAAGGUACAUGAAUUGUAUAUUAAAAAUUAUUCUUUAAUAAGAGUAUUGUACCAAAAUAUAUUUGUGUUGUAGCAUGUUCUUGUGUGUGUGUAUAUAUAUAUAUAUUAUUUCGUUGAUGUGCAUGGAAUCAAUUGUAACUGAACUUUUUUUUAAAUUACAUAAUUAAGAAAUCACUUGGAUUACUUUUCAUUGAAUCUUAUAUAUAACAAUACUCACAUUAUACUUUCUUUGAUGUUCGAGAAAUAUUUACUCUAUUCAUAUUUUAUAAAAAAAAAUUUAUUUUACUUAAUUUUAUUAAUAAUCGAGAGAAACAUUUAUUUCACUCUCAUGAGAAUAUUAUCUUCACUCAAUUAUAAAACAAACAUAAUUGAAGAAGAAGAAGAUUAAACCCUCUUACAUGCCACCUACUGGGGCCAGUUGGGUUGAUUGGAAUUAAACUUGGAAAGAGGAUUGAGGUACACUUGAGAACAUUCAGGAUGCUGCUGCUGCUGCUCCUUGUCUCUGACUGCACUGUCGGUAAUAUAAAACUCUUUCUUUUUUUUCUGAAACGGGUAAUACUACUACUAAUAAUAUAAAACUCUUAAAGGAGCUGUACAUUUUUAAUAAUUGUCUAUGGCUUCUUCACGAAAGUCCUGGAUGAUGCUGGGAGGCACCACCAAAAUGAUUAAAAGCUUGAAGUCUCAACGGCAUUUUGAGGAACACUGGAGAAAAAGUGAUCACGUUCUGUUCGAUGUGAGCUUUUCACAAAUAUUAUAUACAAAAUCAUACUUUGAUUGUCAAUUGUGUUUGAUCAGAUUGUUUUAAUUUAAUUAUAUUAUAUUUCAUAUUUGAGGCAUAAUUUGGAAUUUUGUCUCUUUGUAAUCUAGCACGUUCCAGUAUUAACCACUUCCCGGUUCAAUCAAAAUCAUCCUUCAGUCGACUGUGUCGUAUAGAUAGCAGGUGAAAUCUUUGUUUCUUCCUCCAAACAAGUAAUAAUUUUUGUCCCCACUUACGUGUAGUCAAUUUUGGUAUAGGUUAUUUUUAUUAAAUUUAAUGGGAUUUGGGAUGCAGGUCUAUUCACCAACUCAAUGUUAGGAGUAGGGGUUAAUUUCACACUCUUUUUUCUUAUAAGUUGGUCGUAGGUACGAAUUUCACUUAAUAAAAUCUUAACGGUUGGUGUUAAAAAAUAGGUACCAUAUUAUUAUAUUUGAUCAAUUUAGAUGUGACUUUAUAACCGCAGUUGUAAACGAGACAUCAUGUUAAGUAUGUGAUUAAUACAAAUGUUGAAAUCAUACCUAUAUUGAUCACAGAUUCGGUACGGGUGAGCUUUAUGACAUGUUGUUCUUAUUUUUUUUAUAUAAAUGGAGCAAAGCUAGAAAGUGCUGCCAUCUAUUUAAAACGAAAUCCACAAAAAAUCACUUAACUAUGAAUUAGGUCAUUGUAGAAGUCGGCUAUAUGUCCCAUCAAAAAUCACAACUUUGAUUGAAGAUGUUUAUCGUGGGUUAUUGAUAAAUCUAUCUAAAGAAAUUGGGUAUCUUUUUGUUUUUUUCAAUUGUUAUUCUUUGGGGUAUAUGUCCCAUCAAAAUUUCCAAUUAAAAAAAAAUGAGAAUUCAUUUUUAAUCAUGGUUAUUUUCUUGGGGCUCGGCUUAACAGCCGCCUAAUUUAAUUUAUAAAAUAUAAAUUCAUACUAUUAAGUAUUAACUAUCUUCCCACGAGAACAUACAAAUCCUAAAUUUAAAUAUUUUUUUAUAAUUUAUAUCUCCAUAAUUCUAAAAAUUUUAAUUUUUUUCAAAAAAAAUAUUUUUGAUUAAAUAAUAAAAAUAUAAAUAUAAAAUGAUGAAAUAGGAUGAGCGUAAAAAGUUUGUUAUGUUUUAAGUGUUUAAUUGAAUUUCCAUUCAAAAGAUAAGAUACGAAUAAAUUUAUCUUUAGUUAUUUCAGUUAGAAAAAAGUUUCAUAGGAAUUUCGAGGGGUGUUGAAAAGCAUAUUCUAGCUUAAGAUCUCAUGAAGAUAUAUAUUAUGAUAUGUGUGAAAGGUUAAGUAAGGUUGGGUAGUCCAAGGAAGUUGCGGAGUGAUUUUAUUUAGUUGAACAUUUAAAUUUAAAUCGAAGAAAGUAAGUGUUAAAAAAAUUAAUUUGAAAUUUACCAAUCUCCUACUUUUAUAAAAUAAAAGUUAAAAAAAAAAAAGCAGGGGGGAAACACAAAUUUUCUCUUUUCAUGGGCACAAAAAGAAAGCUGGAUCAUGAACUUUUAGGGUGCCAUGCCAUCCACCAUUAUAACUUGAGUUAGAUCACAUUUGACGUUCGCACUUGUCUGCUCCAGAGAUAAAAUUGCACAUGCCCUUCGUGACCAGUGCCAAAGAUCCAGCUAACAGAGGUAUGGGUUCAAGUGAAAAGUCCAUCAAUAUUCUCAGAAACCAUAAAUAUGUUGAUGCCCACUAAAAUGAUUCUUCUUCUUUUUUCUUUUUUUUUUUCCUUUUCCCCCUCCACUUUCUUUUAAGUUUUAACCAUUUUGUUCUGUACAUAACAUCUUGGCAGUCACCACAUUUUCUGACUCGAAUACGAGAAAAUUUAUGGCAAUCGCCCUUCGAAAAAUUAUUGCCAUUAUAACUACUAAAAGUUCUGUUUAGAGUGCCCAUGAAAGAAAAAGGCAUUUUCUCACUAACUGCUCCCAGAUUCUGCUUUUACUUCCGGUAAAAAUAUCAAUUUACACUCUUCUGUGUAAAGUUCACAUCUUUUUUGUUGUCGUUGUGAAUGGGUAUUGUAAUGCGUAUGUUAAUUGUCAGAGAUCCCAUCAAAAAUUUCAGCCACUAUUUGGGCAUGAACCGCAAGGCUUCGCCAAGUUUAUUAUGGGUUUAGCGGCCCAAAUCAUAACCCAAAUCCUCAAACAAAAAACGUUUCUUGUAAUGCAAGGCUUCACCAAGCUUAUUAUGGGUUUAGCGGCCCAAAUCUAACCCAAAGCCUAAAGGGUGCCUCAAACAAAAAGUGCUUCUUGUGAAAAGUACUUACCAAUUCUUUUUUUUUUGGCUAGGUAUAACAUAUAGAUUAUAGAUCAAAAUACCACUCAACUUCCCAAAAUUUGAAAAAAUUGACAGUGCCAAACUUCCUAUGCACUACUGAAACGCUCUUAUUAAAAGUAUUUGAAAUAUUUUUUUUCUGAUUCUAAUAGAGAAAAUGCUUCUAAAUAAAGAUGUGAUUAAGAUGGGUUGCCAUCACCAAAGUGGUUGAUUUAUUGACACAAGAGUGUAAGAUGAAUUUUUCAAAACAAGGCGAGUCAUCAGAAAUAUUAUAAGUGACAUGAAGAAAAGGACUCCAUGGAAGACAAGUUAAAACUAGUCAAGUAAAAGAAUUAUGAAACAUUGCAACUCCCUCAAGACACGUGGCUCCUUGUGUUUGGUAGGAUGGCAAUGAAACUUUGAUCAGUAAUAAAACUUUGAUCAGUAAGUGUUAUUUAAAAAAAUUAUAUAUUAAUUAUUUAGUUGUCAACGAGAACUACCAUUAAAUAUUAUAAACUUACUUUUUUUUUUAUAGAUAAACUCUUUUUAAGACUAUAUUAUGAAUAAAAGUGAGAUGACAUUAUAAAAUUAAAUAAUGAUCAUUUAAAUAAUUUGAUUUGUAAAAUAAUUCUAUAACCUCUAUUUCUAAAAAAUUGAAAAUUAAAUGCACUAAAAACUCUAGUCGAAAUAGCAUUAAACUACACACACAAAAAAAAACUCGUUUGGUUCGCAUGGAAAUCGUACUUAAUGGACACUUGUUAUCUUUUUGCAUAGACACGUGUCAGUGAAUUCAAAAUUUGCUCCAACGAAGAGCAUGUAGUGUCGCUCUCCCUUUUGAUGAAAUUUGUUUUAUCCUCAGAACGGUCAACACCACCAAAAUUGGAUUUGACCCCAAUAGAGAUUCAUUUUCUUUUUUUUUUUGGGUUUUCCAUAAAGAUUUAUUUUCAAAUAGCCAAUUCAGUGAUUGGGACAAUUAUUAAUUUUUGUCUUUCUUUGGAUAGAAAAUAUUUUUGUUUUAAUGAAAAAAAAAAUUAAGCAUUUUUACAUAGAGAAUUAAUCAUAUAAAAUUAUUUUCAUGAGAACAAAACUUUAAAGAUAUGCAACAAAGGAAUUAUCUUCGGUGGCCUCGGCCUAAAAGGAUAAGCACUCACCCACCGACACAGCCCAACACCCAUCUCAAUCUCAAUCGACCUAGACUUGUAAAGUCAAACACAUCGAUGAUCCAGAGCGACGGGUGCCCACGGGAUUGUUUUUGUCUAUUUCAUUUAUCGCCGUUGAUCUCUUCCCAUCAAAUCAAAGCAACUCGUUUUCCGAGUGAUGUGUAACGCACGAACACUUGUAAUUUUUAAGCCUUUAGUUUAAUUUAGCAUUCUUUUAAAAUAAUUUUAGAGGACGCGAGGAGUACACUCGAGUAUUAACUUUGGGUAACAGCAUUAUUGUCAUUACGUAACUCUACGUGAUCCGUUUUCUCAUUUGAUUUUGUGCAUAAUUGAAAUUAUACACAUUCUUUGCAUUAAUUUUCAAAAUUAAACACAAAGGUUUGGGGCGGUUGGGGCGGUUGGGGCUCCCCCAAGAACAUGUAUUAAAAAAAGUAAUAAAAGAAGAUUUUUUAGAGGGAAUACAAGAUUAUUGUUUCAUAAGUCACCGUACACGCUCGUGUUCGUUUAUUUUUCAAAUGUUGUUGCGUUCGCAUGCUGCACCUGCACUUUUCAGGACGUGGCCGUAUUUCAAAUAUUUAUUCAAACGAAGAGUUGGGAUCCGCAAAGUCAACGGCGGUGAAAGCCGCGGUGCACAUUUAGUUGGUGGCACGUCCAGCAUGGGAUCGAGUCUUGGUAUUCGUAUUAAACCGCCAAUUAGCGAAACCAAAACACGCCCUUCAGCCUACGAACGGGGGAAACGUGUAGAACGGUAUGUUUUUCAUUGGAUGGAUUGCUCGGUGAUGAUCCCUCAAUUAAGCUAAAAAUUGCGUAACAGUGAUGAAAGAAAAAUGAAGGCGUGUUUGUUUCUUUUAUCUUAAGAUUAGAUGGAGGGAUAAUAAGAGUGUUACUACCAAUGGGCCUUUGGUCCAAUGGGAGAAGCCUUGCACUUACAAUAUUGAGUGCAAGGGUUCGAGCCUCCAUAAGAGCAUUAUGGAGAUUAGUUUCAGUUCUUCCUCAAUUAUCAAUUAAUUGAGUGGAGACAGUCUCUCCCUUACGAAAUGUGAGUGGAGCAGGCACCCCUCGAAUAUUAGAGAGGGUUUAAAAUAUCUGGGCAUAUACUUCAGUGUGUCAAUGUAUGAUGGUGGUCGCAGUUAUAUAGUAUGAUUGUAAAUAUUAAUUGUAAUGUCUGAUGUAAUGUCAAUAAUAUCUCUGUAUAACAGACUUAAAAAAAAAAAAAAAGAGUGUUACUGAUUUUGAGAGCCCAAAUGAAUAAAUAAACAAAUAUAAAUGGUAUUUAUUUAUUUGUUUUUAUUUAUAUGCUUUAGUGUAGCAUUUACAGAUGGCCUCCUGGCCUGGGUCUUGCCGACGAAGCUAAAACCUACUGUUGCAAACGACUACAGAUCUACAAUUAAUAGAGAAACUUCAUCCUCCGUUCUCUGCAAUGACCCAAAUGCCCAUGAAGUCUUUUUUUCCAAAUAAAAUUUCCAAGAUAAAUUGAAUGAAUAAAUUUUUUUUGUAGUUGCAGAAAAGUAUUCAUAUUAGGUCAUUGAGACAUCUUCGAUCGGAAAUUUAUUUAAAUAAAAUUAAUUUUAAAAUGUUAAUGAAUCAGAUAAUACAUGAUAUCAUAAUAGUAUAGAAAUAAGAAUAAGGCAUGUUUUAUUCGAAAUAUAUUAUGGAAUUAACAAUAAAAAAAAUAUUCGUGAGGGAAUUUUUAGUUGGAUAAGAAUAGUUAAUCUUUUAUACUAUCGAAUAUUAGAGUUUGGUAUAAUUUCUUUUCUUUGAAAAUAUAUGGUAUAAAUUUUAAUUGCAACUUUUUAAAUAGAUCAUAUACUAAUAUAUUGUUUGGAAAAAGUUAUUUUAAUGUUAAUUAUGAAUUUAGUAAAAAUUUUGGAACCUCUUUUCUUUUUAAUAUUUAUUUGUAUAUUGUAAUAAAAAAUAUAUUGAUAUUGACACUACAAAUCUGUUGAGACGAUCUUAUCUUUGUAAAGAUUGGAAUAAUAUUUACUCCACUCAUAUUAAUUAGAAAGAUGCCAACUUAAGUUUUAAUUGGGAGUAAAUUUUUAAAUAUAUUUAAGAAAGAACUCGAAUAUUUAAUUGAGAGAUUGUAACCUCUUUGAUAAGUAAAAAUAAAUUAGAUAUAUUUUAUCUUCUAUAAGUUUAUUUUUGUUUCAAAUAAACUUUUUUUUUUUUUGAAAAGUUGUUUCAAACAAACCUAGCAAUGCGAAGAAAAAAAAGAGAGAGAGAUUUUGGAAUCUAAAAACGUAUUUUGACUAGUAGAGAAGUCGUAUAAAAAACAUUAUUAGAUGCGUCAUUAAAUAAUUAAUUAGAAGGACAUUUUCGUCCAAAAGUGGGAAGCAAUUGAAGUUAAUGACGCCUCAUCAUCCGCAAACGAAUAGCCUUUCUCUCUUAACAAAAAAGAAAAAGAGAAAAAAAAGAAAAUUAAAAAGUCGUGGAUUUAUCCCUCCCUUCACAAGCUUCGUUUACAAGCUCGCUCCCUUGGCUUCUAUCUGUUAUAAACGAAACAAAAGAAACUCCAAAUUUCUAAAUUCAUUUUUCAUUUUCGAUUUCAAAGGCAGCCAGAAACAGAUCCACGUCUCGGACACUCUCUCCGCGUAAUGCCGUUGAUCUCGUAACUCAGGUCUCCGAAAUCAGAGUUGACUCAGUAACUUCGCACUCGCGACUCGAACCGAACCGAGCCGUUAACACUACCAAAUUGAUCAAAGGCUUUGAGUCUUGACACAAUGGGCGGAGUGCCUUCGACGCCGCGUUUUGCUGACUCGCGGCCACAGGACACGGCGGAGUAUUUAAUUGCUACGUUUGUCGGCGAGAAAUCGUUCCCCUUGGCCUCUGAUUUCUGGCAGAAACUUCUCGAACUCCCGCUCAGCCUCCACUGGCCGUCUCACCGAGUCCACCAAGCUUGCGAGGCUUUCGGUCAGUCACUUAGCUUUUUUUUUUUUACUUUUUUAAUGCAUUGAGUUUAUUUCAUUUGCUUAUUUGAUGAAUUUAGUGCUUGAUCGAAGAAUUUUCUAGGCCAUUGAGCAGCGGCGUCUUUGUGUGGUUUUAUUGAUUAUUGUUGUGUUUGAUGAACUGAAAUGCUCAUUCUUUGAAUUUUUCGUUAUUUUUGAAUUGAUCUUGGUAACUAAAGUACUUAGAAUAAUUCAACGUUAAUAAGAAAAUAGAGAACAGAAAGAAAUGAGAAGAAAUUAAGGUUUAAUACCUACAACGUUAAAAAAUUGCAAAAAUAACAAUAAAAAAUUGGUUUUCUUUAUAGAUUACUAAUGUGCAUUCCUUCUUGUAUGUUUCUUUAUACAUUAUUGAUAGAUUUGGUCUCUUUGUAUUACUGUUGCGCAGCACAAAACAACUGUUAUACUAGGCAUCUUGCGAAGAUUUUGAUUCACCUGACAUGGUGCUUGCAAGAGUGUAUUUCAUCUUCUGGCACUGCAUCAGUGGCUAUUAUGAAGGCUAUUAAUGCAGUGUACAUUUCGUCAGUUUUUCUCAAGUACCUAAUAGAAAAUGCUGAGAGCGAGAAUUUUGAGGAAUUACAUCUGUCUCUUGACGAAAGUGAACCACUUCCAAAGGAAUUUGUGUUAGGUAAUUAUCUUUUAUCUUUUAAAUGUUAAUUCUAAUUUGAUCCUCUGAAUGAAACAAAGCACAAAUAUCCUGAGGGCUUAUUGACUUGAGUGGCCAAGAGGGGGUUGUGAAAUGGCUGUUCUUGAGUCUCAAAUUAAUAGUAAUUAUAAAUUCUGUAGGCAUUGUUCUGGCAAUGGUAACGUAUUUUCUUCAAAACUUGUCAUUUGAAAGGGGUCCACCUUUUGUGAUUCCAGUUUUUUGUCUUUGGGAAAUUUUCUUUUUGGUUAAUAAAGGUUUCCCACUCUUUAUGAAGUUUCAUCAACCUGAAGCUUUGUUUUUGUUUGCAGAUCAAAACAUUGAAAAUCUUGUUAUGCAUAGUGUGUUGAGUUUUAUUGCCUUGGUAGAUGUAAGGUAUAUCACUGAAUCUCUGCGUGUUCUAGCUGUUGAGAUAUAUAUCCAUUAUUCUUAUAAGUAAGAAUUUUCUUUUUGCAAGUCCCCAUACAUACAACCUACAUCAGGAGCUUCUUAAUUUCAUGCUCGUUGCAAUGUCGACUCAGCUUCUUUCUGUGCCAUCGCUGGGACCAAAAGAUGUACACCCUUUCAUUGAUGCGGCAAUGACUGAGGUUACAAUAUGAAAUUUAGACUUUUUGUUCAUUAUCUCAAGAUUUCCAAACUUGUUGAAAUUUCUAAAGUUCAACUUAAAUUUUCAGGAAAGUUCUUUGGUAUGUUCAGUGGUCUGCAGAUUGCUACUCAACUACAUAACACGACCUCGUAUCUCUGUGAACAGUUCAUCUUACUCUAUAUUUUCAGAGGAGAACCAGCCUGGUGUUCUGCAGAGAGUUGGUUCUGCUGCCGGUAUGGGGUUAUUUUAUAGCUUGUUUUCUACAUUGAAAUUGUUUUCAUUUGGAGUCUUAUUGAUCAUGUAUUGCAGAUUCUUCUUUUGUAGAUGAUAGACAAUGGAUGUAUUUUUCAGGCAGUUUGGUUGACAUUAUAUAUUUGACCUGCAGCAACGAUUGUGCUGUUGCCGUUUAAUUAUUUGGUCAGUUCAAAUGGUGAAGGCUCAAGCAAUCCAUUGACUGACUGCAGCCUCCUUGUCCUACUUGUUCUCAUUCAUUACCAUAAAUGUGUUGAGAAUGAUGAAUCCAUAACAGAUAGAAGCGACGACAGUGCCACUUCCGAUUCUUUGGCCAAAUCGAGCACGCAUUUUACUGUAAAUCCUUACUGCAAUGCAUUAGAAAAUGCAAGGGAUAUUGAAUGUGAGCUCUGCUUUCUUUUGUGUUUAUUUAUAUGAUAGCAUCAUAGCAACAAUAUUUUAAGGGGCCCCAGUCUUAAACUAGAGUUCCUUAGCAGUGUCUGGGCUGACCUUGUUUUUCCAUUAAUAUUAAUUUUAAAGAAUGGUAUUUAGGUAGUUUGGUAAAUCAUUACUUAUUUAUUCAUUUUCUUUUCUUGUGUUGACACGCUGUAUGUUUGUUGGUAAAUAUUUCCUGCUUGCAGUUGGUCAUAUGGAUCUCGAGGGGAAUGCACAUAGUGGUCCAGUUGUGAGGCUACCUUUUGCUUCUCUAUUUGAUACACUUGGAAUGUGAGUGCCCCAUUUUUCCUCUUCCCGAGUUUAGAAUCUUUUUGUUGUGAGGUUAUAUUGAUACUUUUCUGCUUCAGUUCGCCAAACUUGAUCUGUGGGUUAAAAUUUAAUGAGGAUGCACCGCAUUAAGAUUUAGUUAUAUUGAAUUUUGCACAUGUUACCAGCAGUUUGGAUGGCUGGUAUUUUUUCAAUGGCUUGGGCUCCACGCCCUUCGUGAGCAAUAAUUCUUUGGUGAAUCUGAAAGCACUGGCAUACCACUGAUGACUCUAUUUCUUCAUCAUCAUUAAGUUGUAAUUACUUGUUCCCCUUCAUCAGUUUUAUCUCACAUGAAUGUUUGCUCUGCAGGUACUUGGCUGAUGAGACUGCAGUUCUAUUGCUUUACUCAUUGGUGCAAGGGAACUCUGGCUUUUUGGAGUAUGUUUUGGUGCGAACUGAUCUGGAUACACUGGUAUGAAACAACAGAACAUUGCUUCUUUAUAUUCGCAGAAAUCUUCUUUCUGAAUACAAUCAUUUUAUUUCUUAGCCCCUCCACAUAGCACAAAAAAAGGAAGCCUUACACUGUCAUCUCAAGGGCCAUAUCUCAAUAUCAUGCUGCUUUUUGAGUGCAGCUUAGUUAUAUGAGAUAUUUUUCCUUACCUUAUUUUUUAUUUUAUUCUAUUUUUAAUUUAUUUUUGGGCUGUAAUAAGUUAUUAAUCAAGUCUUAGUUAUAUGAGCUUGCUGCUGCUCAUCCUAAUAUUAUUCUAUUUUACUAUGGAAUCGACAGUUGAUGCCAAUUUUGGAAACAUUAUACAAUGCUUCAAAGAAGACUCCUAAUCAAAUAUACAUGUUGCUGAUUAUCCUUCUCAUACUUAGUCAGGAUUCUUCUUUCAAUGCAAGCAUUCACAAAAUGGUAAGGAUCUGCUCUAGUGGCCAACCAUUGACUGGAUUACUUAAGGAUUGUGUUGACAUAUUUGGUAUUUUGUAUAGAUUCUUCCCAGUGUUCCAUGGUACAAAGAGCACCUCCUUCAUCAGACAUCUCUUGGAUCUCUAUUGGUCAUUAUCUUGAUAAGGACUGUGAAGUAUAACCUAUCCAAGCUGCGGGUAUGACUUGAAAGUUUACUACUUGUUAAGUUUUCUUUGAAUGUUAGUUGAGAGUGUUACAGCUGAUUGCUUGAUUAAAAUAUCAUUUAUGUCAAUGUUAUCGUAUAAAAAGUGGCCACCUAAUGCUUCUGAUAGACUUUAUGGCAGUUUAAGUACCUUUCUUUUUUUAUACAUGUCAGGUCAGAUUCUUAUAAAUCAAUUGGUGUGUCUGUUGAUCUUGGUGCUCCUUGAAAAUUGUAUAGAAUUCCUAUCCUAGGACUGUGGCAAGAUAGAAACGAGGUGAUUGCUAAUUUGACAUUGUGAAAGCAAAUGCUAGCUUUCACAUAUUAUUGGGGCUAACUGUACUGUUUUUAUACUAUGAAGAAAGCUAGAAUUUAGUGCAAGAAAACCUAUUGUUGUAUUUUAAUCAAUGGAAUGACAAAAACAUGAAGUCUUGAAAGACAUAACCUUAUGAUGAGCAUGGGAAGUGGGCAAUUAAAGGAGCUGAGAUGUCUUACAGUUUUUCAAACUAGUUUUCUGUAUAUGGAUAAAAUGUGCUUUCCAUCUGUUAGGCAAUGCUUGGUCAGAUCAUAAUUUUGUAUGAGGAAUCAAUGCUAUCAUUCUAGAUUCGGUCCAUAUGUCACUAUAAAUGAACUGGAUUCCCUUAAUUCACCCAAAACCCCAUUAAAAUCCUUAAUACUGAGGAUCCGUUGUAUGUUGUACGCUGAUUAAAUCUUGUUAUGCUGGUAGAGACUUGUAUUCUUAUCAUUACUAUAUCAUAUUUUAUGCUCAAAACACUUGAUAUUUCCCUGUGGUAGUCACCAUUUUGACAUGUUUUGUAAGUUUCUAGAUUGAUGGAUAGACAUAUGGUAGAUGUUUAUACUCUGUUCAUUAUGCAAGUUUCGUCCUACUAAAGCCUUUUACAUGUUAAAUUAUAACAGGAUGUCUACCUCCAUACAACCUGUCUUGCAACUUUGGCAAACAUGGCACCUCAUGUCCACCGUUUGAGUGCAUAUGCAUCACAGAGAUUGGUCAGCCUUUUUUAUAUGCUCUCACGAAAGUAUGUCCCCCCGUUCUCUCUUGUUUCUGCUGUGUUAAUUUGAAAAUUUUCAAGCAGACUUUUGUUUCUUAAAAUAAUGCAUGAUCUAUAUAUUGUUUUUCCGAAUUUAUCAACUUCAGGUACAACAAAAUAGCAGAUCGAAGAGACGACAAGAAAGGCAACUUAACAGAACAAGACAGCUUUGCAGAAGAUAUGGUAGUCAUUCUGAUCCUUUUCAUCCUUGUAUAUAUGGCAUUAAUAACUUAAAAAUUUUUUGCUGUUCCAAUGUUAUCGUAUCUUAUAUUUUCUUUUUCUUUUGCUAAACUAGAUUAUUUUUGCUGCAGUCAGCAGAAUUGCACAUUUACACGGAUUUCCUGAGAAUUGUCCUUGAAAUAUUAAAUGCAAUUUUGACUUAUGCCCUGCCGCGAAAUCCAGAGGUAUCAGUUUCCAUUUAAGUCACGAGACAAGGUUUUGUCCCUUUUUUUUUUUCCCCUAACAAUCAUAAGCCAUUUGGCAGAUUUCACAUUGUCAUUAUUCUUAACUAAAUGUUCUUAGCAGGUUGUAUAUGCAAUAUUGCACAGGGAGGAGGUUUUUCAGCCUUUCAAGAGUCAUCCUCGAUUCAAUGAGCUGCUAGAAAAUAUAUACACGGUAAGCAGAUGGUUUCUAUGUCAAAACUUGUAUAUUCUCUCUUAUAUUAAGUAUUUGGAUUUGGCAUAUCACAAGGAUCGGUAGCGGUUGUAGUGCCUAUCUAUAAGGCUUCUGAGUGUCUAAAUUCUAUUCUUUACACUCUUUUACUCUUUCUCGCUGCGACCAAAUUGGAUGACUGCAUUGGCUUUUAUAGGUGUUGGACUUUUUCAAUAGUCGGCUUGAUGCACAAAGAGUGGACGGUGAAUGGUCUGUGGAAAAGGUCCUGCAGUCCAUAAUUAUCAAUUGUAGAUCUUGGCGAGGCGAUGGUUUAAAGGUGAAAGCCGAUCGCUUUUGGAUGUUAUUGUUUAAACUUGGGACUUUUAUCCAGAUGAUUCUUCCCCUUUUUAUUUUACAAAAUCUGGAUCCUUUUAUGACAGAUGUUUACUCGAUUAUAUUUCUCAUAUGAACAAGAGAGUCAUCCAGAGGAGUUCUUUAUUCCAUAUGUUUGGCAACUGGUUCUAUCACGCUGGUAUUUUUCCUACUCCAUUCUCUCUUACUAACCAGAUAACCACACUUAGGCAAAUUGUCCUUGGGAAAAGACUGAUAGGGUCCAAAUAUUUGAUGUGAUUAUUUGGUUUGACUUUUCCUAGCAAUUUGGUUUCAUGGUUAACCAUGAUCCAACGUUUUAGUCACUUUUUAAUCCUUAAAAUUUCUCUUUAAUAUUUGCAUGCUACUUCUUAUAUGUCACUAAUAUCUUGUCUUUCUUGUUUAACUUCAUUCAGUGGGUUCAGCUUUAAUCCCAGUGCGAUAAAUUUGUUCCCAGUGGAUUUGCCUGUAAAAGUAAGUGUUGUGAUCUCUUCUGAAUCUGUUAUGGUAUUAAUGUUUGAUCUAAAGUUGGAGCUUCCAUUUUUAGUAUGAGCUUAUUAAUUUUUCAUGCAUCUCUAGAAUGUACAAACUCUAAUUUGUCUUGUUUUUACUCAUCAUGACUAUCAUUGUUCACUUGACUGCAGGAGGAGAGUAAUGACGAUGGGGAACCCAACAAACAUCAAAAUGGGGAGUUGAAUGAGCAAAGAGUUAAUAUUGAUCCAUAGCUGCAUGAUUCCGGAUGUUCAUGAUGCAUGGUGAAUAUGUAAAUAGAUUACAUGUUUAAAAAAUGUAUUCUUCUCAUUCUUUUCUGUCAAUAUGUUUAAGACACUGUAGAGGCCAUUUUGUCAUAGAUACAAGAUCGAUCGACCUACAAUGUAAUGAAUAAGAGAGCACGCUCAAUUCUACCUUAGUAAUAUAAAAAUCAAAAAAUUAUUUUACUUGGUAAUUUUCAUCCUGUACCGAGUCUUUUGCAUCCUCGCUGUAUUGGAGACCACCACUUAUAAAUUUGUAUCUUUGGAAGACCUCGCUAUUCGAUGGACUCUGAUUUUUCAAGUGCUUUGAAUUGGAAAAUCAUGGAUAUGAUGCAAGAGAUUGGAUUCAUUAAUAUGGACGUUGACUCUGUAAUUAGCUGGUGUACAGUGGAUGAGGAAUUGAUUGUUAGAUAAUCAAAAAGCAUCAUGAAUGAAUGAACGAAUGAAUUUAGAGAUAUCAGAUUGUGCCAGAACGCUCCUUGAUUUUUCUGUUUAGAUGCUGUUUCAUUGACGGUGACGGCGAUGCCAGGUUCAGGUCUCAGGAUCCUCAGUUAGAUAAAGAGGUAGGGUGUUUGGAUAUUGAUUUGAAGAAAUUAUUAUCUGAAUUUUUCAUAAGAUUUAGAGGCAAAGGGAGGUUAGUUUCUUUCAGUUAGUAUUAGCAAAUUCGAAAAGCAUAUUCUUACAAAAUUUCAGUACUUGACGAGUUGAUACUAAAGUGAGGAGGGAUUCCAUGACAGAUAAAAAAAUAAUGAUGAGAUUAUUAUGUGAGGUAAAUGUCUAUGGGUGAAUUUUGGGAUAGACAUGAAAAAUAAAUUAUAAAGCAGGAAUAUUUUUGACAUUAGAAAGUAAUUGAUUUAAUUCAAAUGUCUUUAUUAAGUAAAAAGCCAAAAAAAUUAGUUUAUUUUAUUAAGUCAAAAUUAUUUUAAAAAUCUUAUUAAGUUAUAAAAAUAAAUAUCUCUAAUUAACUUAAUUAAUUAAAUUAAAUCACUUUAAGUCAUUAAGUUAAAAAACAAACGCCACCUUAGUUUGGAGAUCAGAGACUUGUGUACAAUAAAAUCAAAUAGCCACAAAGAAGCAUGGUGUUUAACAACGCGCGUUCUUUAUUUCAAUCUUCCAUAUAAACUAUGUAUUAGCAAAAACACAGUUCUACAAGACGUACAAGACUUGACUUAAACAAGGGUACCGCCCUUGACAUACUCGGUGAAAGCGAAGGCAACAAGACCCAACACAGCCAGCCUUCCAUUCAUCAACUCAGCAUCCGAAGUCACUAACGCAUCCGAUUUCGACUCUACACUGACACCUUUAGACAAAAGAACCAGAAGCGCAAGCGAGAGCAAAACACUGGUCCCCAAGAAAUACGCUAUCCCACCGUCUGAUAUCUGGGCGAACACGUCCUGACCCUUGGAUAUAGUUCCACUGCCUGUGCAGCCACAAACCCAAUCAUCGCAAGCCUCCCACUGAAAGCCAAAACGUGUGGGAACUUCGUGCUCGUCCCCGGCUGCUUUGGUGGCUGAGGCUUCUCAUCCUACAAAAUUAUUAUUUCAACCAUGCAGUUCAGUUAAUUGUUUGUCAAGCAAAACAAGUUAUAAACCGCAGAGAAUUUUUUUUUUUUUUUUUUUUUUAAAAAGGUAUCGUUACUUGACUACCUCAGCUAGGCAACGCGCUCAAAAGUUAACAUUUCUACGCAGAUUACUGGGAAUGUACUGAACAGGGGAAAAUUGGUUCACCCCUGAUCAAAAAAGGUUAAAAAAAAAAAUUCAAUUCACGUGUCUAUGCUGGUUAUAAAAAAUUCUACCUUUCUAUCGCAUUAUCAUCAUGGACUGAUCUUUCACAUUUUUUGUUCCAUUGAUGCUUGUGAAGCACGAUCUCUUCUUUAAGAGGCUUCAAUAUGGGCCCGUAGGUUGAGCUUCAGUUGUCCAAUUUAAAUGUCAUGUCACUUGCAUACAUGUUCUUUCUUGAACAGAUUUGAUAGAACUCAUUCCCAAAAUAUCAAAUUGCAACGAAAGGGAGCCAUUAGCCACCUGCCAACCUUUGACUUUAGCAUUAUUGGACUCAAUUUAGGGCGAUUCAACAUAUUAAUAUUUGAUCUAAAAUUAGAGAAUGUUAAAUUUUUUUCUUGUAUCUCCGAAUUUACAAGUCCAGAUUUGCUUGUCUUUUAUUCAUAAUGGCACCAUCACGAUGCAUGGUGAAUAUUUGAUUAAAAUGUAAAUUUUAAUGGAGAUAAAAAGAAAUUUAAUUUUAAGUAAUUUUUGAAAUUAUAUAAACUAACGUAAUAUAAUAUAGCUGCUUGAUUUAUCUUUAUUAUUUUAUAUUUUUAGUCAACUAAUGCAAAAAUAAUUUGUUAACCAGCAUUUGGCCCAAGCCCUAAAAACUAAAAAGUGCAUAUAUUCCAAUUUCAACACGGAAAAGGGUGAUUUAUUUAGAGAAUUGGCAUGGGAAAACAGAGAUUUACAUACAACACCACCAUAAUUCAUACACAAUAAUUAGCCACGGAAGAAACAUGACGUGCGCUUCAAGUAUUAAGAAUAGGGUCUUGUUAUCAUUUCAAGACUCUGCAGUCCGCAUAUCACUGGAAAAUUGGACUUAACUAAACAAGGGUACUGCCUUUAACAAACUCAGUGACAGCCAAAGCAACAAGACCCAUCAUAGCGAACCUCCCAUUCCACAACUCAGCAUCCGAAGUCAUGAACCCAUCCGAUUUAGACUCCACGCUGACACCUUUAAACAAAGGAACCAGGGACGCAACCGAAAGCAGAACACUGGUCCCCAAGAACCAGGCAACUCCACCGUCUGAUAACUGGGCAAACACAUCCUGACCCUUGGAUAGCUCCACCGCCAAUGCAGCCACGAACCCAAUCAUCGCAAGCCUCCCGUUUAUCCUCUCCGGUGCCGGCCCGCUGAACGCAAACACGUCAGAGAACUUCGUGCUUAUACGCGGUAGCUUUGGUGGCUGAGUUGAUUGAUCCUUCUGCUGCUCAUUCUACAAAAUUGUUAUUGCACCCAUGCAAUUAGUGUAAAGUCUCUAGUUCUCAAGCAAAAGUAAAAAGUAAAUAUAAAGCAGAACUCUAGCCUUUACUUACCUUAGCCAUGCAGCGCACUGAUAAGCUAACAUUUCUCUGCAGAGUACCAGGUAAGUACUUAACAGAGGAAAAUUGGUACACCCCAGAUUUCCUGAUGCCGGUAACACGAGCUGCGACGACAGAGCUUCCAAGCAUAGAUUGAGUGGCGAGUGAAGCAGCCAUUUUUGUAGAUUAUGCAACGGAGGAAUAAUUUAGCAACUGGGAGUUUUUAGGUUAAUGGGCUCCUUACUUGCAAUUUUGAUGAUCAGUAAGAGCAUACGUUGCAUGGUAUUUAUAGUAAGUAAUAAAGUGUGGGGAGGGGAAGAGAGUGAUGGAUAUUUAGGUUCCACGUAGUCUAGAUCUUUCGCCAAAAGUUACUUGGUUCACGUGACUUCGCUGGUCCACAUAGGUGAUGGAGCUUGGGACGUGGCCUGGUUACACUCACCGGAGGGAAAGCUUGUGAAUCUGAGGCCAACGUUGUUCCUAGGUUUCGAGUUAGGCCACGACUACGACUAGGUCAUUCUAGUCAUCUCAUCUUAUGUCGCCACAUGCUCAUAGCUGGUCCUAACUUGAACACGGAAACAAAAUUUGUCACUAAGUGUUUGUUUCUUCCUUUAGCUGGCUAGCAGCUACUUAGCUUGUUUGCUUGUGUUUUUUUUUUUUUUUGCAGUCUGUAGCGAUCAACUUGGCAAAAGUUAUUCCGUGCUUUCGAGGUGCAUGGCGCCUGCAAGUCAAUGAGUUUCACCUCCCUCCCGUAUAUUUAUUCGGAUUCAAUUUUAUAUUAUAUGUAAUUUUAAUUUCUAAUUAAUUUCAUUCGAAUAUAACUGGAUGUUCCGAUUUAUCCAAAACCAAGAAUAACAAUUCAAUUCAUCGUAACUAUAUAUUCUGGUUACAAAUGAGUGUCAAUUAAUUCGAUUGGUAAAAUCUCUUAAAUCAUUUAUGUCAUGUUAAAUACAGUGAUAAUUUUAUAAAUAAAUGAAAAUCAAGCCUUGAUAAUCUACCUGAUCGAAUUAAUAUCAUCUUUGACAUUGUUUAAAUUAUUUUAUUCUCGAAAGAUAAUCAAUUUAGGAAUGACAAAAUCUAAAUUGAAGUGUAGGUGCAUCCAAAUCUGAAUCCACAUUAAUUUUUCAGGAUUCAGAAGUUGGUAAAUUUAUACAGAUUCUAAGCGAAUAUUCUUGAUAUGUGGAUCCGCACAUUUAAAACAUUUAUUUACAAAACUAUAACAUUUUACCAAUAUAAAAAAUAAAAAAAAAUAAUAAUCAUUCAAUACUAAACAAAUCUAGAAUAAAUAUUAAUAACAAUCCAAGUUAAUAGCACCACAAAUGACAAAUUUAAAAUAAUAUAAAGUACUGAACAAAUCUAAAAUAAUAUAAGAUAAUGUUUAAGCAUACUUGGGUGUGUUAUCCUAUUUAUGUGUGAUGUGUUUUUAACUUAGGGCUUAUAUUUUCUUAUAUAUGUCUUAUUUUUUAUUUAAUUAAUUUUAAAAAAAAUAUGCAGAUCUGAAUACCUAGUUAUCCAUCCUCAAUAUCCACAUCUUGAUUCACAUUUUUUAUUAUGCAGAUUCCGAUCUCUGUGGAUGCAAACUAGAUCCCAAUUUUCUUGUCAUCCCUAAGCAAAAGCUUUUCCUCACAAUUAGUUUCCUGUAUAAGAAGGAUUCUUUAUUUUCUUCAUAUUUUAGUAUUCGGAAUUUUCUCCUCAAACUCAAGGUUUAGCUAUUACUAUAAAUUUUAAUGUCACAAAGGCUAAUUCUUGAGCAAUAAAUCAGACUUUCAGCCAUUGCCAAAUUCGGAGGUUUAGCUUUUCCACACAAUUAGUUUCAUGUAUAAAUACAUAUUUGAUAUGACUUAUUUAAUAUGUAUAAGUGCUUAUUUAAUCUUAUAAACUCUUAUCAUAGUUUUUUUUUCUUGUUUGGUUAUUUUUUUAAUAAAGAUUUUGAACCUUAAAUAAGAUAUGUUAUCUCUACUAGUAAAAGCUCAAAUUUUAAACUUUUAUGGAAUAGAUGUUGAAAAACUUUUUUUAAAUGUUAAAAUAUAUAAAAUAUCCUCUAAUUAUUUAAAAAUCUUAUUUUAUUUUUUAUAAUAUAAUUUUAAAAAACUUGUUUAUUAAAAUAAUUUCUUAAAUUUUUAAUAAAAACUUUUAUUGAGAACCAAACAACUAAAAUUUUUAUAAUAAAAAACUCUAUUAACUAAAGCUCUACUUAAAAUAAUCUCUACUUAAAAAAUUAUACCAAACGGAAUCCAAGAAUGACUCUUUAUUUUCUUCAUAUUUUAGUAUUCGGAAUUUCCUCCUCAAACUCAAGGUUUAGCUAUUACUAUAAAUUUUAAUGUCACGAAGGCUAAUUCUCAAGCAAUAAAUCAAACUUUCAGCCAUCGCCAAAUUCGGAGGUCAAUUCCUUCGAAGCGAUUAAAAUUAAUUUUCUUAAUUUUACUUCAGCUUUUCAGUUAGAGCCAUAUGAUCUUAAUAAUAGUUUAGCUGGUUGGCUUCUUGCCUUAUAAAGCACUAACAACAUUCAGUUUCUGCAAAUGAGAAUUCAGAGAACAGAGAUAGGCUCAAACUCAGGAUUGCACCAUACCUCUAGAUGAGCUCAUAUCUUCAACAAACACAACAUAUGAAACCAAAAAAAAAAAAAAAAAAUUGUUAAGCUUCCAUAGAUACUUCAGUUUAUCCAUUUGCACCUGUUCUUAUUCAAUUAACUUUUCUACUUCAAAAAUGAUCCGAUGUUGUUACGUUAAUUACUGUUUAAUGUAAAUUAAUGAAUAUUAGCUUUAAAAUUGCCGGCUCCCUGAGUGCGACACAAAUUGCAUAGAAGAAUUUUGUGGCCAUGGUAAAAAAAUUACAAGUAUUCCACAACUGGGUGUGGCACUCUUGGGCUCGUAGCAAUGAACUUGAGGGCACAAGUUUAAGUCUCAACUCUUAACUUUGUAUUAAUCAUGAAUACGAGUAGAGUACACAUCUUUUUUUAUCUUCAAAGAAAGAUACAUCUCAAUAUUGUAAUAAAUUUCUGAAUUAUCAUAAUAAUAUUAAUCCAUAUUUGUUCCAGUAAACUUAUGACUGUAUGAUUAGAUAUUAGUUAGUAAUAAAAGGAAAAAAAAACUAGAAAAUGGUGGUUGAAUUACAGAAUGGCAUGAGAAAUAGAGAUUUAAUUACAGUAGGAUCUCAUACAUUAAUUAGUUAAAAAAAAUACAGAUCUACAGAUCUAAACAAAAUUAAGCUUAAACAAGGGUGCCACCCUUAACAAACUCGGUGAAAGCCAAAGCAACAAGGCCCAGCAUAGCAAACCUCCCAUUCCACAACUCAGCAUCCGAAGUCAUGAACCCAUCCGAUUUAGACUCCACGCUGACACCUUUAAACAAAGGAACCAGGGACGCAACCGUGAGCAAAACACUGGUCCCCAAGAACCAGGCAACCCCACCGUCUGAUAACUGGGCAAACACAUCCUGACCCUUGGAUAUCUCCACCCCCAAUGCAGCCACGAACCCAAUCAUCGCAAGCCUCCCGUUUAUCCUCUCCGGUGCCGGCCCGCUGAACGCGAACACCUCAGAGAACCCCGUGCUCAUCCGCGGCUUCUUUGGUGGCUGAGGCUCAGCUUUCGGUAUGGUUGGUUGAUCAUCUUUCUGCUGCUGCUGCUGCUCAUCCUGUAAAAUUAUAUCAAUACCCCAUGCAAUUAGUAAAACUGUUAUUUCACGUUAGGUAAAGCUCCGCAUUUCGUAUUGUGGAACCGUGGCUUCACUUACCUCUGCCGUGCAGCGCACGGAUAAGUUGACAUUUCUACGCAGACUAGGCAAGUACUUGACGGAGGAAAGUUGGUUUGCCCCGGAUCUCCUGAUACCAGUCACACGAGCUGCUACAGGACUUGCCAGCAUAGAUUGAGUAGCAAGUGAUGCGGCCAUUUUUAAUUUAUGAAGUAGAAAACAGAACAAAGUAUAAUUCGGGAAUUGGGUGCUUCAGGUCGGCGGGUUCCUUGUUUGCAAUUUCUUGAGACAAGAGAGCAAAGUUUGCAUGGUAUAUAUAGUAGGUUGGGCUGAAGACUGAAAACCGAAAACCGAAGAGAGUGGUGGAUAUUUCGGUUCCACGUAGUCUAGAUCUUUCUUGAAAAGUUAAUUCGUUCACGUGGGUUUGCUUUGUCCACAUGUAAUGGAAGCUUGUGACGUGGCCACUUACUCACCAGAAACAUGUCACUUCCAAAGUGCUUCCUACUUCUAGUGGUUCAUCUCAUACCACGACAUGUAGUUCUUGUUUCUUAGUUAAAGACGUAAUUAUUUCGUCACAUGGUUUGCUAGUCUGAUUUCUUUAGCCAGCUCGCUUGUUUCCAGCGAUGCAAUUUGGCAGUCUGCAUGCGUGCUUUGGUUUUGGCCGUCGUUACUUUACUAACUAGCAAUUCAUAAAGUUGACGAGUUCUCUCACUGCGUCAGAUUCACAGGGCUAACGUGCACUCAGAUGAACAGAAAUGACCAAGACUCCAGAGACGAUGAUUGUGCUACCUUAUUGCAUGUAUAAUUAAGCAGCAGAAAUGUGUGUAAACCGUCGAACUGGAUUUGUUCCUGUUAUUGUUUGUCAAUACAACGUUCAAUUUUACAAAUUAAAAAAAAAAAAAAAAUUCCGAGAACAGAUGUUCGAAUUAAGGGCUAAUCGCUAAUGUACGAAUCAAGCAUUUACACGAAUAUUUCUUGCUUAAUUCUCAAUAAACUACACAUAAGAAGGAAGCAAGAGAUGAAAUGACAUGCCUCCAUAGUUCCACACCUCAGUUUAAUCCACUUGGAAUAUUUACUUUCUAGGAGUAUUUGCAAAUUUGUACCCAUAACCAGACAAAUUACUGUAGUCUCUAUGGCCACCAACUUCGUCAACAGGAAUGGUCUUGCAAAUUUCUUUCAAGUCCUCUUCUUUAAGCUUCAGCGCCAAAGAACCAAUGUUGUUAUCAAGGUUUGUAAUCUUAGUUGUCCCUGUAUAAUAUGAAAGUGAAAAGUAACAAGUCAUGCAAGAACCAGCUAGAAAUCCCACAGCAGAGUAAAAUUUACAUUCAUUGAAAUAUUAUUUAUCUAGAAAAGAGAGGUAUGAAUGUUAUACCAUUCUUUUAUCAAAGAAAAUUGAAAAGCAAAUCCAAACAUGUUGAACAGGUCAUUUAGAAGAAUUUAAGAGCCUAAUAUAUACCGGGAAUAGGGACUAUGUCAUCCCCUUGAUGGAGAAGCCACGCCAAAGCUAAUUGAGGGGUAGUACACCCAUACUUUGCAGCCAAGGUUUCCAAACGAGUAUAUAAAAGUUUGUUCUUCUCCAAGUUCUCUCCACUGAACCUAGGAUGCAUUGCCUGUGACAGAAAAUAGAAAACAGCUUCAAAGAGGAAAAAUGUGAAAUUGUGAAACAACGUGUGCCUGUUUACAAACUGGAAGAAUAGAAAGGAAAGUCAAAUGGAUAAAAUUGUAGAUUUAAUUAUUAGAUUUGCUUUGUAACACAUACCAAAAUACUCUCACUGGGCAAGCUUUCCACAACUGCCUUCCCAGCAAAGAAACCUCGACCAAGAGGGCUAUAUGCCACUAUGCCAAUACCGAGCUCUCUGAGGAGAAAGGUGAAAUAUUACUUAACAUCUGUAGAACAAUAGCAAUUGCCAGGAAUUGAAAAUAAAAGCUUCCUGGAGACAAAAAGAAGGAUUGUAAGGUAAAAAUAUGUGAAGAAACCUGCAGAGAGGAAUUAUAUCAUCUUCGAUUUCACGAGUCCACAGCGAGUAUUCCAUUUGUACAGCUGUUAUGGGAUGGACAGCAUGGGCUCUUCUUAUUGUGUCUGCACUGGCUUCAGACAACCCAAUAUAUUUUAUCUUUCCCUCCUCUACUAGCUUCUUGAGUUCCCCCAUCUAACACAACAUCAAAUUCAAACUUUAUCAGAUCUCAAGAUAUUAGCUUAAUUAACAUAAUAGAAUGAACAAAACUCAAUGAACAGGAAAUGCAUAUAACAAAAUAAUUCUUACCGUAUCCUCUAUUGAUACUGAGGUGUCCACACGAUGCUGAUAGUAGAGAUCAAUAUAGUCUACAUCAAGUCGCUUUAGACUGGCUUCACAACAUUUCCGUACAUAUUCAGGUGAGCCUUUUACCCCAAUAGAAACCCCAUCUAGCAUAAAACAACCAAAUUUUGUUGCUAACUGAAUCUUAUCACGAGGAAGCUGCUUUAAAGCCUGUACAUAUGAGAAUUAGAUUUCUUAACCAGUGUAUACUGUCACCAUUCUCUAAGCCUUGUGAGCUUUAAAAUUAAUUGUGUGCUCUGUCAACUUUGGGUUUAUUUCAGAUCAGUUAUCAGAUAAUUUGAAGUUGAAACCGAAAAUAGUACCUUGCCAACCAUGAUCUCAUUGUCAUGAUCAACCCCAUAAACAUCUGAUGUAUCAAAAAGGGUGAUACCCCUAUUAAAAGUUUCCUUGAUGAUUGAACAUCCGACCUCAUGGGAAAGAGGUUUGUUGUAUAUCCCAGAGAGUCCCCCACAGCCAAAACCCAAUCUGGAAACCUGAAAUCAUGAUAUUAUUAGGAAAAGCUUUCGAUACACACACACACACUCGUUUAUUUGCCUAACCUCAUAUUAGUUUCAACACUUAAAAUCCACUCCUAAAUUGAAGCUUUCAAUCUAAGAAUUUGGUUCAUCAAAUGUCCCCUUAAAUUACUACUUUCUUUGAUCCUAUCCUGCAAAAGUAUCCAUAUCGGGCCACGUAAUGUAGAGAAGGAACAGAAAUCAUAGUAAAUAACCAACCCAUUGUCUACCAAACAAGUUGGAUAUUUAAUAUUUCCAUACAAACACUUGCGUAAUGCAAUAUACAGACAGAAACGUAAAAGGUACAUCUUUCUCUUGAGUCGAUCCUUCAUUCUUUUAUUAUUUUAAAAUUUUAUUUUCAUUUAGUGUCAAGCAGUACCAGCUAUCAAAUUCGUCCAUGUUAAUUUGAUUCGAGCUGUUUCACAUGGAGCCUUGAACUUCAGUCCUCUCUACAUAUAUCAAGCUGUGCAACAUCCUAGAUAAACAGCUAAAAAAUAAGACAACUAACACAGCCACUGUUCAGCAAAUAGACUACAUUUUCACAAAUUCAAACCCUUACAACUUGCAAACUAUACCCACAGAUAAAACACACAUGACAAUUCAUCAAACAUCGAUGCCAAGGAACCAUGGCAGGACAGAAAAUUGAAGCUAGCAUUUGAUUAAGCAAAAAUCUCAAUUCCUAAGUGCAGUGUAUAAUGGGUGCGACGAACCGAACCUCAUCUUGUUGAUAAUUACAACCAGAAUGUUUGCUAUAUUAGCUUACCUCUAAACCCUGACUGCCCAAUUUCACUCUCGGAACAUGGACUUGAGGCUUCUCCUCCAUUUUUACACAGAAAGUAGAUCUUAGCCGCAGACUUGCAGAGACAACAUAAAGAACCUAACAAAAAAUUAGACUUACCAGCUCUCAUGUUCAGUGAGGGACCAACUAACAACCCACCAAAUAGGCAAAUACCACAUGGACAGCCCGUGAUUAGAUAACAUUUGUUUUCAUUUUUAUUUUUAUUUUUUUAAUAAGCCUUCCUCUC
rnacentral:lncRNA from 1 species